GGUUAAGCGACUAAGCGUACACGGUGGAUGCCCUGGCAGUCAGAGGCGAUGAAGGACGUGCUAAUCUGCGAAAAGCGUCGGUAAGGUGAUAUGAACCGUUACAGCCGGCGAUGUCCGAAUGGGGAAACCCAGUGCAAUUCGUUGCACUAUCGUUAACUGAAUACAUAGGUUAACGAGGCGAACCGGGGGAACUGAAACAUCUAAGUACCCCGAGGAAAAGAAAUCAACCGAGAUUCCCCCAGUAGCGGCGAGCGAACGGGGAGCAGCCCAGAGUCUGAAUCAGCUUGUGUGUUAGUGGAACGGUCUGGAAAGUCCGACGGUACAGGGUGAUAGUCCCGUACACCAAAAUGCACAGGCUGUGAACUCGAAGAGUAGGGCGGGACACGUGGUAUCCUGUCUGAAUAUGGGGGGACCAUCCUCCAAGGCUAAAUACUCCUGACUGACCGAUAGUGAACCAGUACCGUGAGGGAAAGGCGAAAAGAACCCCGGCGAGGGGAGUGAAAAAGAACCUGAAACCGUGUACGUACAAGCAGUGGGAGCACCUUUAUGGUGUGACUGCGUACCUUUUGUAUAAUGGGUCAGCGACUUAUAUUCUGUAGCAAGGUUAACCGUAUAGGGGAGCCGCAGGGAAACCGAGUCUUAACUGGGCGUUAAGUUGCAGGGUAUAGACCCGAAACCCGGUGAUCUAGCCAUGGGCAGGUUGAAGGUUGGGUAACACUAACUGGAGGACCGAACCGACUAAUGUUGAAAAAUUAGCGGAUGACUUGUGGCUGGGGGUGAAAGGCCAAUCAAACCGGGAGAUAGCUGGUUCUCCCCGAAAGCUAUUUAGGUAGCGCCUCGUGAAUUCAUCUUCGGGGGUAGAGCACUGUUUCGGCUAGGGGGUCAUCCCGACUUACCAACCCGAUGCAAACUACGAAUACCGAAGAAUGUUAUCACGGGAGACACACGGCGGGUGCUAACGUCCGUCGUGAAGAGGGAAACAACCCAGACCGCCAGCUAAGGUCCCAAAGUCACAGUUAAGUGGGAAACGAUGUGGGAAGGCACAGACAGCCAGGAUGUUGGCUUAGAAGCAGCCAUCAUUUAAAGAAAGCGUAAUAGCUCACUGGUCGAGUCGGCCUGCGCGGAAGAUGUAACGGGGCUAAACUGUGCACCGAAGCUGCGGCAGCGACACUAUGUGUUGUUGGGUAGGGGAGCGUUCUGUAAGCCUGCGAAGGUGGCCUGUGAGGGUUGCUGGAGGUAUCAGAAGUGCGAAUGCUGACAUAAGUAACGAUAAUGCGGGUGAAAAGCCCGCACGCCGGAAGACCAAGGGUUCCUGUCCAACGUUAAUCGGGGCAGGGUGAGUCGACCCCUAAGGCGAGGCCGAAAGGCGUAGUCGAUGGGAAACAGGUUAAUAUUCCUGUACUUGGUGUUACUGCGAAGGGGGGACGGAGAAGGCUAUGUUAGCCGGGCGACGGUUGUCCCGGUUUAAGCAUGUAGGCGGAGGUUCCAGGUAAAUCCGGUACCUUUUAACGCUGAGGUGUGAUGACGAGGCACUACGGUGCUGAAGUAACAAAUGCCCUGCUUCCAGGAAAAGCCUCUAAGCAUCAGGUAACAUUGAAUCGUACCCCAAACCGACACAGGUGGUCAGGUAGAGAAUACCAAGGCGCUUGAGAGAACUCGGGUGAAGGAACUAGGCAAAAUGGUGCCGUAACUUCGGGAGAAGGCACGCUGAUAUGUAGGUGAAGCCCCUGCGGGUGGAGCUGAAAUCAGUCGAAGAUACCAGCUGGCUGCAACUGUUUAUUAAAAACACAGCACUGUGCAAACACGAAAGUGGACGUAUACGGUGUGACGCCUGCCCGGUGCCGGAAGGUUAAUUGAUGGGGUUAUCCGUAAGGAGAAGCUCUUGAUCGAAGCCCCGGUAAACGGCGGCCGUAACUAUAACGGUCCUAAGGUAGCGAAAUUCCUUGUCGGGUAAGUUCCGACCUGCACGAAUGGCGUAAUGAUGGCCAGGCUGUCUCCACCCGAGACUCAGUGAAAUUGAACUCGCUGUGAAGAUGCAGUGUACCCGCGGCAAGACGGAAAGACCCCGUGAACCUUUACUAUAGCUUGACACUGAACAUUGAGCCUUGAUGUGUAGGAUAGGUGGGAGGCUUUGAAGCGUGGACGCCAGUCUGCGUGGAGCCAACCUUGAAAUACCACCCUUUAAUGUUUGAUGUUCUAACGUUGGCCCCUAAUCGGGGUUGCGGACAGUGUCUGGUGGGUAGUUUGACUGGGGCGGUCUCCUCCCAAAGAGUAACGGAGGAGCACGAAGGUUAGCUAAUCCUGGUCGGACAUCAGGAGGUUAGUGCAAUGGCAUAAGCUAGCUUGACUGCGAGCGUGACGGCGCGAGCAGGUGCGAAAGCAGGUCAUAGUGAUCCGGUGGUUCUGAAUGGAAGGGCCAUCGCUCAACGGAUAAAAGGUACUCCGGGGAUAACAGGCUGAUACCGCCCAAGAGUUCAUAUCGACGGCGGUGUUUGGCACCUCGAUGUCGGCUCAUCACAUCCUGGGGCUGAAGUAGGUCCCAAGGGUAUGGCUGUUCGCCAUUUAAAGUGGUACGCGAGCUGGGUUUAGAACGUCGUGAGACAGUUCGGUCCCUAUCUGCCGUGGGCGCUGGAGAAUUGAGGGGGGCUGCUCCUAGUACGAGAGGACCGGAGUGGACGCAUCACUGGUGUUCGGGUUGUCAUGCCAAUGGCAUUGCCCGGUAGCUAAAUGCGGAAGAGAUAAGUGCUGAAAGCAUCUAAGCACGAAACUUGCCCCGAGAUGAGUUCUCCCUGAGACUUUAAGUCUCCUGAAGGAACGUUAAAGACGAUGACGUUGAUAGGUCGGGUGUGUAAGCGUAGCGAUACGUUGAGCUAACCGAUACUAAUGAACCGUGAGGCUUAACCUUACAACGCCGAAGGUGUUUUG
rnacentral:rRNA from 1 species